rnacentral:sRNA from 1 species
UUUUGAAAAUCAACAACUAACCAAUAAUAAACGCAAACAACAAAAAAAACUAAUAGCUAUUGUUAUAUUUAUCUUAUUAGCUAUUGUUGGUAUACCUUACUUACA